rnacentral:rRNA from 1 species
GACGAACGCUGGCGGCGUGCUUAACACAUGCAAGUCGAACGGGAAGGCCCUGCUUUUGUGGGGUGCUCGAGUGGCGAACGGGUGAGUAACACGUGAGUAACCUGCCCUUGACUUUGGGAUAACUUCAGGAAACUGGGGCUAAUACCGGAUAGGAGCUCCUGCUGCAUGGUGGGGGUUGGAAAGUUUCGGCGGUUGGGGAUGGACUCGCGGCUUAUCAGCUUGUUGGUGGGGUAGUGGCUUACCAAGGCUUUGACGGGUAGCCGGCCUGAGAGGGUGACCGGCCACAUUGGGACUGAGAUACGGCCCAGACUCCUACGGGGGGCAGCAGUGGGGAAUAUUGCACAAUGGGCGGAAGCCUGAUGCAGCAACGCCGCGUGCGGGAUGACGGCCUUCGGGUUGUAAACCGCUUUCGCCUGUGACGAAGCGUGAGUGACGGUAAUGGGUAAAGAAGCACCGGCUAACUACGUG